rnacentral:lncRNA from 1 species
AUAUAAUUGUGUCACAACAAGACAUUGUAGACUUAUCUAUAAGAUCAUGAAAAGCUUGUCUCACAAGGCAUCAUCAAGACCAUUUAAAAACAACUCUUCCAUUAUAGCAUCCAAUGAUUGCUUCUUUAAGGAUGAGAGUUGAUAAAAUCUCUUCUCAAAUUCUUCUAAGAAUUCAUAAAGAUCCAUAUGCUUACUUAGUUGCAAUUCUAUCCAAUCCAAAAACUUUUGCUUGGUAAUCCUAUCCUCAUCUCCAUCAAUAAACUCUUCCUUCAAAAGUUCUUAAAAUUUUGACCAUGUCUCCAUACUUCCCCCAAGCAAUCUCUAACAACUCUAAUAGAUUCUUAAAUAAAAUAUAAUUAAAGUUUAGAAAAUAUAAUUAAACAUUAAUGAAAUUCAAUUAAAAUUUCAAAAAAUUAUACAAAAAAUACAAAGAAUUUUUAGAAAUCCUUUAAAGAAAUCAUAAAAAAAUAACAUAAAAAUUCAAAAAUAAAUAUUAAAAUAGAAAUCUUAAUUAAAUCUUAAUUAAAAUCUAAUCAAACCUUAAUCAAACCUUAAUCAAAUCUUAAUCAAAUCUUAAUCAAAUCCUUAAUAAAAUCUAGUCAAUCAUAAAUAAAUCCUAGUCAAAUCCUAGAUAAAUCCUAAUCAAAUACUAAGCAAAUCCCAAACAAAUCCUAAACAAAUCUUAAUCAAAUCUUAAUCAAAUUAUAAAUAAAUCCUAGUCAAAUCUAAGUUGAAUUCUAACUUAAAUCAAAUCUUAAUCCUAAUCAAAUCCUAAUCUUAAUCCUAAUCAAACCUUAAAUCAAAUCUAAAAUCCUAAUCCUAAUUCUAAACCAAAUCCUAAUCAA